GGGCAAGGACCAGCCUAUGUGGUGCGUUUUCUGCCACCCGGAGCACCGCUUCGUCGAUGAGGUCUGGAGCGCGCUUGGAAGGAUGGGUGGCUAGCAUGAGACCGUAAACUAGCCUUCUAUAGGCCCAUUUUCUGCAACUGCCUUAUCCUACUAAAUUUGCCCGAAAGCCCGUACCUAUGAGAAACAGGCGUGAACAGGAGGCGGAGCAGGUUACACUUGCCUAAUGAUUUCGGUAAAAAGUGAGAGGUGAAAAAGUUGGGC
rnacentral:misc_RNA from 1 species